CCUACGGGAGGCAGCAGUAGGGAAUUUUCGUCAAUGGGCGCAAGCCUGAACGAGCAAUGCCGCGUGAACGAGGAAGGUCUUCGGAUCGUAAAGUUCUGUUGAUGGGGAAAAAGAGCGGAGAGAGGAAAUGGUCUCCGAUUGAUAUUACCAUUCGAGGAAGUCACGGCUAACUACGUGCCAGCAGCCGCGGUAAUACGUAGGUGGCGAGCGUUAUCCGGAAUGAUUGGGCGUAAAGGGUGCGUAGGCGGCCUGUUAAGUCUGGAGUGAAAGGUAGCGGCUCAACCGGGACAGGCUCUGGAAACUGGCGGGCUAGAGAGCAGGAGAGGGCGGUGGAACUCCAUGUGUAGCGGUAAAAUGCGUAGAUAUAUGGAAGAACACCAGUGGCGAAGGCGGCCGCCUGGCCUGUUACUGACGCUGAGGCACGAAAGCGUGGGGAGCAAAUAGGAUUAGAUACCCGAGUAGUC
rnacentral:rRNA from 1 species